CCUACGGGAGACAGCAGUGAGGAAUAUUGGUCAAUGGCCGGAAGGCUGAACCAGCCAUGCCGCGUGAAGGUCAGUGCCCUAUGGGCGGUAAACUUCUUUUGUGCGGGAGCAAUAAUGGUCACGUGUGGCCAGACGAGAGUACCGUACGAAUAAGCAUCUGCUAACUGCGUGCCAGCAGCCGCGGUAAUACGGGGGAUGCAAGCGUUAUCCGGAUUUAUUGGGUUGAAAGGGUGCGUAGGCUGUGAGGUCAGGCAGCGGUGAAAUGCCCCCGCUCAACGGGGAGAAGUGCCAUUGAUACUGCUGAGCUGGAAUGCUGAUGCGGUGGGAGGAAUGUGUGGUGUAGCGGUGAAAUGCAUAGAUAUCA
rnacentral:rRNA from 1 species